rnacentral:rRNA from 1 species
UACAGAGGGGGCAAGCGUUGUUCGGAAUUACUGGGCGUAAAGGGCGCGUAGGCGGCCUGCUAAGUCGAACGUGAAAUCCCUGGGCUCAACCCAGGAACUGCGUCCGAUACUGGUUGGCUUGAAUCCGGGAGAGGGAUGUGGAAUUCCAGGUGUAGCGGUGAAAUGCGUAGAUAUCUGGAGGAACACCGGUGGCGAAGGCGGCAUCCUGGACCGGCAUUGACGCUGAGGCGCGAAAGCUAGGGGAGCAAACGGGG